rnacentral:lncRNA from 1 species
AAAAAAAAAAAAAAAAAAGAAUCAAAGCUUUAAAAUCCAGCAGAAGUAAAAUUUCCAAGUGGGAGGGAAGAGGAUCAACAGGAGAAUCUGCAAGAGUAAAAGAGGAAGAAGAUGUGUGCUGCAUGGCACAAAAUGAAUCUGCAAAGCAUCUGGGAACUGCAGACCCUACUGAUGCCUGGAACUCACUGGAGUCAGCAUGUCCAGGCAGUCAUUGUAGCAAGUCAGAGUGGUGUGAUGAAAUGCUUCAGGAGAAAAACAUUUCACCACAGCCUGGUUCACUCAGAUACCUUGCCAGGGAACCAACAUCUCACUCGGGCCUCUGAUAUUGUAACUGUGGGCCUUUAAGAAACAACGGAAAACCCAACUGAAUAAAAACUGACCUCCUUUGUGGCUGCCCUGAUGGAAGGGGCUCAGGAGCAACAGCCUUCAUGGUGCCCACCCUCUGGGCCAGAACAACGGAUGCCCCACAACUGAGUUUAGUGCCUCCAAGAACCACAGCUUUUUUUUGCAGCAGUAAGAGCAUACCUCUGAGGCACUGUGAAGAAUCUGAUAGUCGAACUGAAUGAAGCCAAGUCCAGUCUUUACGGAAAAAUUUACACAACACUUCCAGAAAUGAAAACACAAAACAAGAAUUUUGUAGCGAACUUGAGUGACUUUAAGUGUUGUCUUCGGAGUCCAGUUUACGAAACAAUGGUUCUGAUUAGGAAGACUCAAGGCUGCAGGAAAGAUCCUGCCUUCAGGUGAGGGUCUCAUAGGUGGUUUUAUUCCUGAAGUUGAGUAUUUGCAAGCUUUUCAAAGCUUUCAGAGCUAUCAUAAUCAAAGGGCCACAAGAUGGAGAAGCCAUUUUUUGAAAAAACAUGCUUUAUGUUAGGAAAAUAAAAUUUUAUGCAUUAAUCUCCACUUCCUGAGAAAGGGCUGUACAUGUCUUUCCAUUAAAAAUAGCAAGUUUUCAUGUCAAGAGCACUUUUAUUUGCAAACCUCAUAGUAAAUUAGAGCAAAUUCUGGCAACAUCUGCCUCAUUCUUAAAAUCUAAAGCAGGAAUUAGCAAGCUAUACCACCUGUGAGUCAAAUCAGCCCACUGCCUGCUUUUUUGUAGAUGUAAGCUAAGAAUAUUUUCAGCAUUUUUAAAGUAUUGUUUAAAAAGAAAAAAGAAAAAAACCCAUAUGAAACAGAGGACUUAUGUGGUUUGCAAAUUAUAAAAUAGUUAAUAUCUGGCUCUUUAUAGAAAAAGUUUGCUGACCUCUGCUCUAAAGAAUUGCUUCUUUUUAGAAAGCAAUAUUAGUUUUAUCUUGAGAAAAAGGUAGAUAAUAUUCACAUUCUAUCUGUCCUCUUUCUUCUUCACCCUGUUUUAUUCUUUGUUUACCUUUUCUAGCUAUCAAAGAAAGGCUUUUAUCAUGCUACUAGAUUUGUUGUCUAAGUUCUAUCAUUCAGUCCUUUAUUUUAAAAACAGGUGAGAAGGCAAUUUAUAUUAAUCCUCUUUAAAAAAAAGACACUAAUAUGAAAUAGUCUGCUUUUUGACUUGUUUUUCUGUGGGUCAGUAAUUUUUUUAAAAAAGAGAAUGUGACCUAUUUUACCUUAAAUGCCUACAUUAAAGUAAAGCUAUUUCUUAAUGUCUUUGAUUUGCAUUCUUAUUUAUUUAUUUAUUUAUUUUACUUUAUUGUUUGGAGACAGGGUCUCACUCUGUCUCUCAGGCUUGAGUACAGAGGCACAACCAGGGCUCACUGCAGGCUCUGCCUCCCAGGUUCACGUGAUCCUCCCACCUCAGCCUCCUUGAGUAGCUGGGCCCA